AGUCAGGAGAGACAAGGUGUAUGCUAUAUUUGCAUCUGUUUGCUUGUUCCCAUGGAACACAAUUUUUGGUAAAGGCAAUGGUGACAGUUCUCAGUGCCCUCUGCCUCUUGUGUGUGAGAUAGAAAAUUCUUUUCAACUUUUCCCAGAGUGUUUCCUGUGAGGCAAUGAGCACUGUCAGCCUCCUGUCCCGUGGGAGGGGUUGCUGGUUGUUCUCUUCACUACAAAUACCAGCCAGAAAUGUGUAAGAUGAACAGGGCAGUUGUGUUGCUUAGGAGUUGGACUUGAUAAUCCUCAUGGGUCCCUUCCAAUAGUGGAUAUUCUGCAGUUCUGAGAUGGUGGUUGUGUUUGAGAUACUAAAAUAUUGCUACACAAGAACAAAGUGAUGUGCUUCAAUAGGUGGAUCAUCCUUUUGAAGCUAAAAACACGAUUUCUAAGGCCUCAGGCUUCUGGAGUUAGUGUUCACAGGACAUGGAACGGGAUGGAAGAGGGGUGGUGUAUGAGAAAGGAAAGUCCCUUUCUUUUCUGGGCUCUGAGGACUGAGUUCAUUGAGUCACACGGUGUGCAGUUCCUGUCCUGAUGGCAGCAGUAUGUCAGUGAGCUGUGGGUCUGUGUCAGCAUUUCCCUGAGGUCAGGGAGGCAGGCUGCUGUGGGACCGUUCUAAGGUGUAGUAGCUGGGACAAAUCACACCACGGUUGAUGAGAACUGGCACUUGUGAAGAAUCUGAAGCGUCUCAGAAUGAUGGUUUCCUUUGAGGAGAGAGUGGAUGUAAUCUCCAAAACUCUCUGGCCAAGGAAUUUCAUACACUGCACAUGCUGGUCUUUGCUAUCUCCCUCUUGUUAUGACAUGGAUAGCAGCAGCGUGGGUUUUCCAAGAAAACUCGAAUUGCGUUGAGAAUUCACUACUAAACAGCACAGCUCAACGUGUUGCAUCCCUGCUUUCAGGGUUCUGGUGCCUUACCCUGUGUGACCACCAGGGGCCUCCCUCCACCUAAGAUUUGCAACACCGGAGCUCUAUGAACAGUGCAGCUGAAUGAACGGUGCCUGACAAGGGGCUGGAGCAACCAACCGGCAGGCAACCGGACAAACUGGUGGCUGGAGAGAUAGUUCAAAGAAUCCAUAUUUAUCAUAGGAAGCAAAAAAUAAAGCAGGAGCGGGGGAGCUCGCUUCAUCUCUGCAGACUUCAGGCUUGAGACGGUUGCAAGGCAGUUCACUUCUAAAUCUGUGCUGUGUGUCUUAUGGAGCACAGUGAGAUUAAUGUGACCCUCAGGUGCUUGAUGCCUUUGUGCUGCUCCUUCACCUGGAGAGAAAACAAUUUUUUUCUGCAUGGCUCCAUAGCUGAUUUUUGUCUGUUUCUGUGCUUAAUUACAGAACCAUAGAAUUAUUUGAGUUGGAAGGAAUCCUUAAAGGCCGCCCAGUCCAACUCCCCUGCAGUAAACAGGGACACCCACAGCUACAUCAGGUGCUCAGAGCCCCUCCAGCCUGACUCUGAAUGUGUGCAGGGAUGGUGCACUGAACACCUCUCAGAGCAACCUGUGCCAGUGCCUCAUUACCCUUAAUAUAAAAGACUUCCUUAUAUCCAAUCUAAAUUUCCCCUCUUUUAGUUUGAAACGCUUUUCCCUGGUCCUGUCACAACAGACCCUACUGAAGAGUCUGCCCCCUUCUCUCUCAUAGCCCCCCUUUGGACACAAUGAUAGCAUCAUUCUUUUCUUGUAUUUCAGUGACCGGCAAUGAAGAAAACACCAAAUCCCAAAGCAAUCGUGUGCGUAUAACAUUAAGUGCAACAUAUUUAAAACAAAAUCAGUGGUUAGGGGCUUCCACAUGUAUACGUAUGUUCUGAAGUCUUUUCUUGCAUACAGGAAGACAAAAGAUGAAUCUGCAGGCCUUCAUUCAGUGCUCAGCAUUUGUAAUUGGAUUCUUCUCCCUUGUUCUCACACCAGAGCAACUCUGGACCCAAUGGGAGCCUCACGGGCUCUUCCUCAACUACUGACAAGUGUUUCAGAUAUUAAAUGAAAACCUAUUUCUUGAAGUUCCUUGCUGAAAUUAACCAUGGAACUUCCUCCAAGGCUUUGCGGAGCCCAGGCCUUGAAGAUGCAGUAGAGCUACUUCAUCUUUUGUCCCCUGCUAUGUCUCCCCCAGAGCCAUUACUUAGCUCCAAUAGAUAUUUAUUCUGUGAUCUUACGGAAGAGGUGUGGUUAAUUAUAUUUCACCUUGACAUGCCUCUGUGCUUUCAGCGCUUGCUGGGACCAUAAGGUGGAUGGCUUUCAUCAUGUAGCUGACCUGCUUUCUGGCUCAGCCAAACUGAGUAAGAACUGGAGAAUGUGCGGUGAAAUCCAUGGCAGGCGUAUGUCAGAGCUUUUCUCUUCUGCCCCCUUUUAAUAAGCCCAUAACAUGGAGGUAACAUUUAGACUGACAUUGGUGUUGGAAUAAUUUCUGGGAGCUGAUAUUUUUGAAGCUUGCAUGUGUCAAUAUUUCAGGAAUGGAUAAAUAGAGCAAACUGGAGAAGCCUUAUGAAUAUUUCAUAGUGGCCCUCCUCGCCCAGAAAAACAGAUAUAUAUAUAUUAUAUGUCUUUUUACUCUCUCCACAAUUCUUCCCCUGCUCCUCCACUCCAUCCUUUUCAGUAUUUUAAAUUAGUUCCUUACUGGGAAGGGGGUGAUGGCCUGUUCCUGACUCUAAACCUAAUAGCAGGAUGGGGACCAGGUCUUUCUCUUCUUCAAUUUCUUAUUACUCGUUCUACUGUGAUAACAGUGACGUCUUUUUCUUAACCAUUUAGUAUGAAGCAGCACUUUCUUGGACCGACGAAGGAAGGAGACAAAUGUCAAUGCUUUACUGAUAGUCCUUGGUUUUGCUUACGUUGCCUUGGGUUGAGUGGGACAGGGCAGAUCUCAAUGAGAUUUUGGGCAUUCCACCAACACAAGUAGACAUUUAAAUUAGCUCUGAUCAUUCUUUCUGGGCUUUCACCAAACCUGUGAUGUCUACGUACCCAAAUGAAAAAUAAAUAAAAAGCGAUUGAGACUGUAAAGCUUAGUUCAAUGACCAGUUUCUUUCUACUUCCCCUUGUGUGCCUAAUGCUACUGAAAAUCAGUGCGCCAAGCGGAUGACUUCAGCGCACACCUUUGGAAUCAUUUCCUUUCUUGGGAGCGGGACUGAGAGACAUUAAAAAGGCCAUGAUACAUGUUUCUGAAAAAAGGAAAGUAGCUGAAUGCAUAUAUGACAUACAUUUUUACCAGUAUGGAUUAAUACCCGGGGGCUGUUUGGUUCACAGUGCAUGAGAGCCGUCCCCCCAGGUUGCACACAGGUUUUGGUGUGUUCCCAAGUGUUCCAUCCUUGAUGCCCUUAAUACAAAAUUAAAUGUUUUGUGAAGAGGCCCAGGUGUGUUUGGGUAGCUUUCUACUCCAGGCAGCGAAUUUGUUACACUAACAGAAGUGUUUUUUCACCUGGCAGUAUGUUGCAAUAAUCAGCAUUCUUUGUUUAAGGAUAAACUGAGCCUUCUUUUUUCUCUUUAUAAAUUGUGGAUAGUUUGGGGAAAAGUUUUGGAAUAAAUAAAUGAAAUGUGUUUAAGUAGGUGCUGGAAAAUGUUUCCUUUUCAGAGGGGAAGUUUAUUAUUUUAUGAGUAAUCUUCAGGCAAAGGAAACCGGAGUCCAGGAAAUGGAUUUGCCAGUGGAUUCCUGCAGUUCAUAACCUGCUGCUUCAGAUUUCUUUUGGGCAAGAUAGAUAGUAGAACAAGCACAAACUCUGGUUAAGAUGAGGUGAAUAUGUAGAAAAGAGAAAUAAUUCACAAAGAGUUUGGUAUCCGUUUCCUUUCAGUAUAACUUUGCCUAAGGCAGGGAUGCUCAAAUGUCUGCAUCUUCUUCCAGCUUCAUCCCACUGAGUGCCCCAUGAAUGCAUAUCUUCAAAGAGACGAAACUCAGCUUCUCUGUAUUGACUGAAAAACAAAUAAAUUUUCCCCCUCUGAAGUAUAUCAAGGGUUGCAGUCUUUUGCAGAACCAUAACACAGAGCUAAAAUAUUCCUCUGCAACAAAGCAAGAGGAGAAACACGGGCCCACACUGAAGACUGGACUGAAUUUUCUUCCUGGCCACCUCCAACACAGCGAAUGGCGAGUUGUGAAAAAGAGAACAGCUUAUUAAUAGUCGCCUUUGAUCACUCGUUAUGGAACAGGAGCAUCUGUCUUCAGGCUUUUUGCCAAGCAUCUUACUAGAGGCAACUUUUCUGAUAGCACUCAUGGGACUCAUCUGUUAAAUAAUCACCUAAUGAAGCGAAGAGAAUUUUUAAUACAAAUGAUGUACAUUUACUGUUUCCAUUUUUAGUUCAUACUUUUCAGUGCAUAGUAGUGUAUGAGAGGAAAAUGAACCUAGAUGCCUUUGUAUCUUCCUGCCUCUGGUCUUUAAGUUCACAGGCCCAGUGAGUUCUGUGUCUCCUUUAGUCACAAUGCCAGUGGCUGGCAUCUGAGGACUGCUAAGAUGCUGUUAGAGUGCUACAGAUUCUGGGCACUUCUGUGGGGAAUACAUUUGAUUUCAUGAAAUGAGUUGAGAUGCUUCUGGCUGUAGCUUAGAUAACAGUGCUCCCAGGUCAUUAGGAAAAUGAUCACAUUUACUAGUUACAUGUUAAUAGAGAAAGGAAGAAGUGAGACACAAGGCCUACUUGGCCUUCACAGUUGAAGAGGAUACUGCCUCUUGUACAGUUUGGCUGCUCUGUAUUGAAUUCUAGUCUCACAAACAUCACAUUACAGCAUGGGAAGAGUUUGUAAGUUGCUCCAGCUUCCUUUCGUUCCUUCACAAAGAGUGGGGAAAACCAUCCUGUAAUUAUGUGAUCCAUUUAAGAAGAGCACUCCUGCUACCCAGCUGCUUUUCUCCACUUAGUCACUCUAACCACCAGUUACAGCUUGAGCUGUAACAUCACUCCCCAGGCUGUUGGUGCUUAAUUGGUAACACCCUGUUACAAACAGCCUAGGAAUAAAGGAAACAUUUUUAAGCCAUCUAAUGUGUAACAUGGCAAAAUGUGAUUAAAAUUCAGUGCAUUAUCUCUCUUGGUAUUUUAUUACUGCAGGUGCACAGCGGUGACUGAUCAGAGCAGCACUGUGGGCAACACUGAAAUUAAUUGGAGCUAUGCUAUUCAUACACCUGUGCUCACAGAAGAUUCUGAGUGUAAAUAGAGGGUGCCAAGGAAAAGAGCAAAGGAACUGACUCAGUGCUGACAUAGCUGUAAAUAAAUCACUUUCUUAGGGGAAAUACCACAGAAGGGUACAAACACUUCUAAAACCAACCUGACUGUCAUCCCAGAUCUGCGGAUGUCGGAGAUGCAUGAAGCAUGGUUACAGAUAGAUCACAGCAUCAGAGAGUGACUCAGCUCUCCCUGAGCUCAUUUUAGUAACUGGAUUUAGUGAAUGAGUUCAGUGGAUUCUGCCCUCAGCACUCACCCUUGAGUGUUCCAAGGAAAUGGUAUUCGGUUGUAUUUUCAAGAAUGACUCCAACAGCUGUAGAAAGAUAUAUAUAUAUAUCUUAUAUAUAUAUAUAUAUAUAAAGAUGAAGGAUGUGGUGAGAGAAAGUGGAUAAUUAAUGGGAACUGAGGGAACUUGCUGCAUUUUGGUUGGAUGUGUAACUGUGUCAUGAGUGAUAUUUAAAAACAAAACAAAACAAAAACAUUCUGUAGUAGUGUCAUGAUUCCUGUAGACUCAAGGUGAGAUAAUGUAUGUGUGCUACAUUUUAGCAGUAGACUUCAGGCCCUGGGAGUACUCCCACAGAGUUAAUUAGGUGCUUGAGCUAAUUAAGUGCUUAAAUAGAGCUUGUGCAUGGAAACUAGCAGUACUGCAUGCUGAGUCACAAGUUCUGGAGAUGAGAGGGUCUGAUGUUGAUGAAGUGAGACACAGCAGCUAAGUAGUCAUCUGUUCUGCAUCUAUAGCCUACAAGUGUUAGAUACUGGGAGAAAUUUCUUCUCAGAGGGAGUGGUGAUGCAUUGGCACAGGCUGCCCAGGGAGGUGGUGGAGUCACCGUCCCAGAGGGUGUUCAAGAACCAUGGAGAUGUGGCACAGGGGGACGUGGGCAGUGGGCACAAUGGAGAUGGGUUGGGGUUGGACUUGGACUUGGUGAUCUUAGUGAUCUUUUCUAAUUUUCAUGAUUCUGUGAUUCUAUUAUCUGCAGUUCUUGGAACAGCUUGUUCAUCUCCACGGCUCAAAUGUGGUGAUGUGGUGUACUCACAGCCGGGGGAAAGCAUGGCAGAUUUGGGAAGGGGGUGUGAACAACUUGCUGGAAAAGGAUGCCUGCAGGAGCCACUGUGAGAUGAUGUUGGCUAAUGUGUGAAGGAUGAAAGCAUUGCAAGUGGUCUUGUGGAUCUUUGCCCUUUGUUUAGAGCUUCAGACAUUCAGUGUGUUUUCUUACCUGAUUUUAUGUACCUUUCAUAACAUUUUACCUGUGUGGUUUUCUAGUUAGAGGAAACCAUGGAAGAUAUACCACAUUGGAGUGAUUUUAAUAAAAACUGGAGAGUUGUCUAAUGUUGUAA